CUCCUCUGCUUCUGCUCAGUGAUGCUGGCAGUCAGGGCUCGCCGGGAGACGUGACCGGGAUGUGCUAUGAUCGAACAAACCUUGAAGCCAACAAAUCUGAAUUAAUGGGCAGCUGAGCCAAUGCCAAUAUUAUCCAGGGAAUGAAAGUUUCUUGCCAGACAGUAAGGAACAGCCCCUGGUUGUGGUUCAGACAACUAGGCUUCAACUAAACUUAUGGCUGGCUGCCUGAAAGAGGGAUUUUAUUCAACUGUCCCAAUAGCACAAUGGGGGUUUGACCAAGCCCAAGCCGAAUAAAAGGCUCAUUUUUCAACUCUAAUAUCUACAAUUAUGAGCCAGAGCCCACUGGUUGCUUUUAAUAAAUAUACCAAAUUCUUGUUCUAGUGAUUUUCUUGUAGAUGUAGGUCACUCCAUAGAAAAUUAAUUAUCUCAUUUGACACUAACUGCCUUUAAGGACAUUCAUUGCCUACAAAGUCCUGAAUCAUUAAAAAAAAAAAAUACUUUGUAAAUUGCAGAUGAACUGAAUAUUUCAUGUUCAACUGAAUUCAGAUGACCAAGGCAUAUUUUCCUGGUGGCCCACUAUGACACUGGAGUCUUCAAAAUAGCAUCAUAUAAAUACAACUUGCUUAGGGUUUAUAGUGUUUCAUGAGUAUCUAGAAAGGAGAAAGGAAUGAGUAAUUUCCAUGAGGAUCCCAAAGUUCUAUAUAAUCAGUGUUCUAAGUGCCACCAGGUAAUGAGUUCCCAUUACUGGAGAUCUUCUGGCAGAGUCUGAUUGAUCCUUGCUGGCAAUGUUGUAGAAAAUAUACCUGCUCACAUAGAGACUGGACCAGAUACCUCUGAGAUACUGCUCCAAUUCUUGAUACAAAGUUAGUUGGUAAUCCAUUAAAUAUAGCUAGAUCUUUAUACUUGUUCAGACAUUCUCUCUUUUAAUACCCAUAACUAUCUCAAGAGAUAGGCUGACCAAAAAUCAUCUUCACCAUUUCACAGAAGCAGAAAUACCUGAGUGCAUUAAAUGACUUGCCUAAAUUCAUCCAGCUAAAUAAAAUGAAUCAGGACUAAUAGAACCAUAGGAUUUUGAGCUAGAAGGUGCCUUAGAGAUCUUAUACA